ensembl:lncRNA
GUAUCUUUAAAUCCGGCCGUCGACAGGAGGAGUGAAAAUAGUUGAAUUGAUAUUUAUUCGAUCAGUAUGUCCGGUAUUUCAGUCUAUAAGAGAGGAGUGUACGCUUCUUUACGGUUUCGUCACACCUCCUCGUCGGUGAUUAUCGUACUGUAACAGCGCCGCACACGGUGGGUUAUUCUGUACGUGUUGCUCAACCAGCAGUAACAUUAAGUGAUGAUGUCAUCAGCACGUUUCCUGUUUUUCCAGGUGCGCUGCUGGGAAAAGAGAACGCCGAACGCCUUCCUCAGUCACCGCCCUCCUUCUCGGCCUCACUAUCGUCCCUCGUUCCGUCUCUCUCCUCCUCCCUCCCUCCCUCCUUCACUCCUCUGUCCGUCUCCGCCCUCCCUCUCCCGUCCAUAAUGUCCUCCUCCUCCUCGUCUUCCUCGUUCCUCUUGUCCUCCUCAGCCACUCUUCCCCUCCCCUCCACACUCUCUCACUCCCUUCCUCCACUGCCCCCCACCGUCUCCUCCUCUCUUCCUUCCACUCCUCUUCUAUCACUCCAUUCUAAAUCAGCCAGCAGAGACAGCAGCACACAAACCAGGAGGAGUCCAGAGAGUGAGAGAGUCCAGAGAGCCACGCUCCCUACAGGCCGAGGGAGAACAGCCAGGAUGGACUACCCAAUCGCUCAGGUGAAGUGUCCCGAGAGCCGAGUCGUCCACACGACGGGGCAGAAGAUCAGACCUGCCGACUCGGACCUGGUGGAGAUUCUGAUCUAACACACAUCUACGGACAGAACGCAGAGCGACUGACAGAAAGAGAGACAGACAGGCAGAGACAGGCGUCUCUCGGUUUAGCCCCGUGCACGCUGUGUGUAUAAAGCUCCUCGUUUAUCACUUUCGGUAAAAGUUGUGUGUAAAUAUUUGCACAAGAGACGGAACUGAAAAUUUCCCAUCAGGUUUAUAAACGUUUCAGAAACGCUGCUUUCCUCCGUAGUCGUGUGCGUAUGUCGAUCAUCGGUAAAGUGUCAAGCGCGUUCCGCACGCAGCUCAUUUGCAUAUAGUGACGCCCACAAAACUCCAUAAAAGGUAAAGUGCACAGAGAGCUGGGAGCAGGAAGUGAGCGAUCAGGGUAAAGACUGAAGAACAGAAGUAAGAGGUUACUUUGACUCACUAUUACAGCUAAAUCUCCAUAAUCUCUCGUCACACACACUCAGGAGCUCCAUUAGGAUGCGAAGGUUUUUUCAGAAUAAUAAUAGUAUAACAUCCAGCCCAGUGAGUGGAUUCAGCACUGAGUUUCUGGACCGAAGGGUCUUUGGGUAAGGGUCUGCGAGCGUGUGGCGCGGCCGUGUCUGGGUCACGCUGACAGACUGAACGGAAGGGUUGCUAAUGACAGGGAAGAGAAGGGAAGUUGAGACGGAGAACAGGUUGAAGAGGUGAGCGAGUUUAACGCAGGAUAUGAAAGCGUGUGAACCUGAAGAGGGUAAAAGUUCAAGUGUGUGAGUCGCGGAGCUUCUCUCUGGUUCAUGAUGCGUCUGUUUCACACACUCCAGCUGUUCUGGAGCUCUUCUACACGUUUACCUGAAAAAGACUGUUGUGUUAUUUUAUUGAGAUGAAGUUCUGGUCCUGUUCUGUAAGACAUGAUGAAAGGUUUGAGGUGAUUAUCAUGAUAUGGAAAUGUAAUGUCUCAUGCUGAAGCUCUGAGAUGGUUCUGUGGUUCCUCCUCUGUUCUCCGGCUAACAAUAAAACAGUGCCUUAAUGCAACAGCACUUAGACACACACACACACACACACACACACACACACACUGUUUUCUUUAUUCAUCUUGCCUACACUCUCACACUCCUCACCUCCAUCUGUGUGUUACUGCCACCUUCUGGCCACAUUAUAACAACAACAACAACAACAACAAUAAUAAUAAUAAUAAUAAUAAGCUUCAUUAAUAAAAAUAAAUGAACAUAACAAAUGAACAUAUUUUGGGGAUUUAUAUAUUUUUAAUAUAAUAAGUGACAUUUAUUUAACUGUAUAUAUACA